rnacentral:rRNA from 1 species
AUGGGCGCAGCCUGAUCCAGCAAUGCCGCGUGCAGGAUGAAGGCCUUCGGGUUGUAAACUGCUUUUGUACGGAACGAAACGGCCCUUUCUAAUACAAGGGGCUAAUGACGGUACCGUAAGAAUAAGCACCGGCUAACUACGUGCCAGCAGCCGCGGUAAUACGUAGGGUGCGAGCGUUAAUCGGAAUUACUGGGCGUAAAGCGUGCGCAGGCGGUUAUGUAAGACAGAUGUGAAAUCCCCGGGCUCAACCUGGGACCUGCAUUUGUGACUGCAUAGCUAGAGUACGGUAGAGGGGGAUGGAAUUCCGCGUGUAGCAGUGAAAUGCGUAGAUAUGCGGAGGAACACCGAUGGCGAAGGCAAUCCCCUGG